rnacentral:snRNA from 1 species
GUGCUCACUUGGCAGCAUAGAUACUAACACUGGAGCCAUACAGAGCAGAUUAGCAAGGAUGACACGCAAAUCAGUGAAGCAAUUACUAUUUUC